GGGGACAUAGCUCAGUUGGGAGAGCAGCAGACUGAAGUCGGAAUUCUGAAGGUCCCCAGUUCAAUCCUGGGUGUCCCCA
rnacentral:tRNA from 1 species